GAGGGGUGCAAACGUUAUUCGGAAUCACUGGGCGUAAAGGGUGCGUAGACGGCAAAGCAAGUCAAUUAUUAAAUCUCCUGGCUUAACCAGGAACUCGUAGUUGAAACUGCUUUACUAGAGGAUGGAAGAGAGAAGUGGAAUUCUCGGAGUAGCGGUAAAAUGCGUAGAUCUCGAGAGGAACACCGAUGGCGAAGGCAGCUUCUUGGUCCAUUUCUGACGUUGAGGCACGAAAGCGUGGGGAGCAAACAGGAUUAGAUACCCUGGUAGUCCACGCCGUAAACGAUGAUCACUAGAUGUCAAAUCCGCCUUAGGGUUUGGUGUCGCAGCUAACGCGAUAAGUGAUCCGCCUGGGAAGUACGGUCGCAAGAUUA
rnacentral:rRNA from 1 species